rnacentral:rRNA from 1 species
AGCGUACACGGUGGAUGCCCUGGCAGUCAGAGGCGAUGAAGGACGUGCUAAUCUGCGAUAAGCGUCGGUGAGGUGAUAUGAACCGUUAUAACCGGCGAUUUCCGAAUGGGGAAACCCAGUGUGUUUCGACACACUAUCAUUAACUGAAUCCAUAGGUUAAUGAGGCGAACCGGGGGAACUGAAACAUCUAAGUACCCCGAGGAAAAGAAAUCAACCGAGAUUCCCCCAGUAGCGGCGAGCGAACGGGGAGGAGCCCAGAGCCUGAAUCAGUGUGUGUGUUAGUGGAAGCGUCUGGAAAGGCGUGCGAUACAGGGUGACAGCCCCGUACACAAAAAUGCACAUAUUGUGAGCUCGAUGAGUAGGGCGGGACACGUGGUAUCCUGUCUGAAUAUGGGGGGACCAUCCUCCAAGGCUAAAUACUCCUGACUGACCGAUAGUGAACCAGUACCGUGAGGGAAAGGCGAAAAGAACCCCGGCGAGGGGAGUGAAAAAGAACCUGAAACCGUGUACGUACAAGCAGUGGGAGCCUCUUAAUGGGGUGACUGCGUACCUUUUGUAUAAUGGGUCAGCGACUUAUAUUCUGUAGCAAGGUUAACCGAAUAGGGGAGCCGAAGGGAAACCGAGUCUUAACUGGGCGUUAAGUUGCAGGGUAUAGACCCGAAACCCGGUGAUCUAGCCAUGGGCAGGUUGAAGGUUGGGUAACACUAACUGGAGGACCGAACCGACUAAUGUUGAAAAAUUAGCGGAUGACUUGUGGCUGGGGGUGAAAGGCCAAUCAAACCGGGAGAUAGCUGGUUCUCCCCGAAAGCUAUUUAGGUAGCGCCUCGUGAAUUCAUCUCCGGGGGUAGAGCACUGUUUCGGCAAGGGGGUCAUCCCGACUUACCAACCCGAUGCAAACUGCGAAUACCGGAGAAUGUUAUCACGGGAGACACACGGCGGGUGCUAACGUCCGUCGUGAAGAGGGAAACAACCCAGACCGCCAGCUAAGGUCCCAAAGUCAUGGUUAAGUGGGAAACGAUGUGGGAAGGCCCAGACAGCCAGGAUGUUGGCUUAGAAGCAGCCAUCAUUUAAAGAAAGCGUAAUAGCUCACUGGUCGAGUCGGCCUGCGCGGAAGAUGUAACGGGGCUAAACCAUGCACCGAAGCUGCGGCAGCGACACUAUGUGUUGUUGGGUAGGGGAGCGUUCUGUAAGCCUGUGAAGGUGUGCUGUGAGGCAUGCUGGAGGUAUCAGAAGUGCGAAUGCUGACAUAAGUAACGAUAAAGCGGGUGAAAAGCCCGCUCGCCGGAAGACCAAGGGUUCCUGUCCAACGUUAAUCGGGGCAGGGUGAGUCGACCCCUAAGGCGAGGCCGAAAGGCGUAGUCGAUGGGAAACAGGUUAAUAUUCCUGUACUUGGUGUUACUGCGAAGGGGGGACGGAGAAGGCUAUGUUGGCCGGGCGACGGUUGUCCCGGUUUAAGCGUGUAGGCUGGUUUUCCAGGCAAAUCCGGAAAACCAAGGCUGAGGCGUGAUGACGAGGCACUACGGUGCUGAAGCGACAAAUGCCCUGCUUCCAGGAAAAGCCUCUAAGCAUCAGGUAACAUCAAAUCGUACCCCAAACCGACACAGGUGGUCAGGUAGAGAAUACCAAGGCGCUUGAGAGAACUCGGGUGAAGGAACUAGGCAAAAUGGUGCCGUAACUUCGGGAGAAGGCACGCUGAUAUGUAGGUGAAGCGACUUGCUCGUGGAGCUGAAAUCAGUCGAAGAUACCAGCUGGCUGCAACUGUUUAUUAAAAACACAGCACUGUGCAAACACGAAAGUGGACGUAUACGGUGUGACGCCUGCCCGGUGCCGGAAGGUUAAUUGAUGGGGUUAGCGGUAACGCGAAGCUCUUGAUCGAAGCCCCGGUAAACGGCGGCCGUAACUAUAACGGUCCUAAGGUAGCGAAAUUCCUUGUCGGGUAAGUUCCGACCUGCACGAAUGGCGUAAUGAUGGCCAGGCUGUCUCCACCCGAGACUCAGUGAAAUUGAACUCGCUGUGAAGAUGCAGUGUACCCGCGGCAAGACGGAAAGACCCCGUGAACCUUUACUAUAGCUUGACACUGAACAUUGAGCCUUGAUGUGUAGGAUAGGUGGGAGGCUUUGAAGUGUGGACGCCAGUCUGCAUGGAGCCGACCUUGAAAUACCACCCUUUAAUGUUUGAUGUUCUAACGUUGGCCCGUAAUCCGGGUUGCGGACAGUGUCUGGUGGGUAGUUUGACUGGGGCGGUCUCCUCCUAAAGAGUAACGGAGGAGCACGAAGGUUGGCUAAUCCUGGUCGGACAUCAGGAGGUUAGUGCAAUGGCAUAAGCCAGCUUGACUGCGAGCGUGACGGCGCGAGCAGGUGCGAAAGCAGGUCAUAGUGAUCCGGUGGUUCUGAAUGGAAGGGCCAUCGCUCAACGGAUAAAAGGUACUCCGGGGAUAACAGGCUGAUACCGCCCAAGAGUUCAUAUCGACGGCGGUGUUUGGCACCUCGAUGUCGGCUCAUCACAUCCUGGGGCUGAAGUAGGUCCCAAGGGUAUGGCUGUUCGCCAUUUAAAGUGGUACGCGAGCUGGGUUUAGAACGUCGUGAGACAGUUCGGUCCCUAUCUGCCGUGGGCGCUGGAGAACUGAGGGGGGCUGCUCCUAGUACGAGAGGACCGGAGUGGACGCAUCACUGGUGUUCGGGUUGUCAUGCCAAUGGCACUGCCCGGUAGCUAAAUGCGGAAGAGAUAAGUGCUGAAAGCAUCUAAGCACGAAACUUGCCCCGAGAUGAGUUCU